GAGCGAACGCUGGCGGCAGGCUUAACACAUGCAAGUCGAGCGGGCGUAGCAAUACGUCAGCGGCAGACGGGUGAGUAACGCGUGGGAACGUACCUUUUGGUUCGGAACAACACAGGGAAACUUGUGCUAAUACCGGAUAAGCCCUUACGGGGAAAGAUUUAUCGCCGAAAGAUCGGCCCGCGUCUGAUUAGCUAGUUGGUGAGGUAACGGNUCACCAAGGCGACGAUCAGUAGCUGGUCUGAGAGGAUGAUCAGCCACAUUGGGACUGAGACACGGCCCAAACUCCUACGGGAGGCAGCAGUGGGGAAUAUUGGACAAUGGGCGCAAGCCUGAUCCAGCCAUGCCGCGUGAGUGAUGAAGGCCCUAGGGUUGUAAAGCUCUUUUGUGCGGGAAGAUAAUGACGGUACC
rnacentral:rRNA from 1 species